GUAGAUUCUCUCUGAACAAACUUAAGCAUUAUGGCCUAAUAAUUUAAAGACUUUAGUAUCGUCUCCAGACAAGUUCCAAGGUAAAAGUACUUCCUUUCAUUCAGCUGAGACAUUCUUCUUCAUUAUUUUUGACAAAUGUUUACAGGGAAGGCUGCAGAGAGAUGCUGGAAGAAUGUGUUCUUUAUUGGUCCACUGCAUGUCUUCUACCUGUAGGUAUAAAAAAUUA